rnacentral:rRNA from 1 species
CCUACGGGAGGCAGCAGUGAGGAAUAUUGGUCAAUGGACGAGAGUCUGAACCAGCCAAGUAGCGUGAAGGAUGACUGCCCUAUGGGUUGUAAACUUCUUUUAUAUGGGAAUAAAAUGUUCCACGUGUGGGAUUUUGUAUGUACAAUAUGAAUAAGGAUCGGCUAACUCCGUGCCAGCAGCCGCGGUAAUACGGAGGAUCCGAGCGUUAUCCGGAUUUAUUGGGUUUAAAGGGAGCGUAGGUGGAUUGUUAAGUCAGUUGUGAAAGUUUGCGGCUCAACCGUAAAAUUGCAGUUGAAACUGGCAGUCUGGAGUACAGUAGAGGUGGGGGGAAUUCGUGGUGUAGCGGUGAAAUGCUUAGAUAUCACGAAGAACUCCGAUUGCGAAGGCAGCUCACUGGACUGCAACUGACACUGAGGCUCGAAAGUGUGGGUAUCAAACAGGAUUAGAUACCCCAGUAGUC